rnacentral:rRNA from 1 species
GACGAACGCUGGCGGCGUGCUUAACACAUGCAAGUCGAACGGAAAGGCCCUGCUUUUGUGGGGUGCUCGAGUGGCGAACGGGUGAGUAACACGUGAGUAACCUGCCCUUGACUUUGGGAUAACUUCAGGAAACUGGGGCUAAUAACGGAUAGGAGCUCCUGCUGCAUGGUGGGGGUUGGAAAGUUUCGGCGGUUGGGGAUGGACUCGCGGCGUAUCAGCUUGUUGGUGGGGUAGUGGCUUACCAAGGCUUUGACGGGUAGCCGGCCUGAGAGGGUGACCGGCCACAUUGGGACUGAGAUACGGCCCAGACUCCUACGGGAGGCAGCAGAGGGGAAUAUUGCACAAUGGGCGGAAGCCUGAUGCAGCAACGCCGCGUGCGGGAUGACGGCCUUCGGGUUGUAAACCGCUUUCGCCUGUGACGAAGCGUGAGUGACGGUAAUGGGUAAAGAAGCACCGGCUAACUACGUG